rnacentral:rRNA from 1 species
UACGUAGGGGGCUAGCGUUGUUCGGAAUUAUUGGGCGUAAAGCGCGUGUAGGCGGCUUUGCAAGUCGGGUGUGAAAGCCCUCAGCUCAACUGAGGAAGUGCGCCCGAAACUGCAGAGCUUGAGUACCGGAGAGGAUGGCGGAAUUCCCCAAGUAGAGGUGAAAUUCGUAGAUAUGGGGAGGAACACCGGUGGCGAAGGCGGCCAUCUGGACGGAUACUGACGCUGAGACGCGAAAGCGUGGGUAGCAAACAGG